ensembl:lncRNA
CUCACUCCGUUAGUAACUGUGGUGUCAGAGCAGUUGUGAUUAUAGUUGAUACAAUGUUUCCUCUGUAACCCUCGGACCUCACUGAGUGCACAUCUCUCUGAAAUAUAUGAGAACACUGAAGAGCAUCAUGGAAUAGGAUACAAUGUUUCCUCUGUAACCCUUGGACUUCACUGAGUGCACAUCUCUGAAAUAUAUGAGAACACUGAAGAGCAUCAUGGAAUAAAACAUCACUCUGUUUUUAAAAUAAAUAGGAAUAAAUGGAACGAGGACAUGAAAAAACACACACAGAAAGCUGCUGGAGCAUCAGAAACCACCGAGGAGCAAAAAACAAGAGGAAAGACAGAAACAGAGGCCAGAAAUGAAACACAAACCAGUGGAGAGAAAAGCAGACAGAGGCUUGUUAGAUGUGACAGUAUGAAGAAAAGAAGGCCAACGUUCUCAGAUGAUCCACAGGGGCCUGUAAAGUUUGAUACAGAUGUUCUUAAGAACACACAACACACCACAGCAGAUCAAGACCAGAACAACAUCAUCAUCACAGACUCAAUCUGAAACUGACUAGUGAACGUUUCUUUCCUUGAUGACUAAUAACUGUAUUACCUCGCUGCUGCUGCUGCUCUUUAUCAUUAAUAACCUCUGGAUUACACAGAGACCUUUGUGUUUACAAAAUUGUUUCUUUCAUAUUGCACUGCCUUUCAUGUAUAAUGUAUAUAUUUGUAUUACUGUAUAUUUUGGUAUAUUUCUGUAUAACAUACUGUACAUCAUACAUGCUGAAAUACUCAAUCACAGAUAUUAUGACAUCCCAGGUUAAAAAAAAGAAAGAAAAGUGCACUAAAAUACACUAUUUCAGAAAUGCUUCAGUAAUGAUUCCACUGCGUCCCGUGUCAAAGGGUCUUUAAAUCAGAAGUGUAGGUUUACUUGUUGGUAUUCUACUCUACAUCAAGCACAUCUCUUUCUAUUGCUCUUUCAUUCAUGCUUCUUUUUCAUCUACAACGUUCCAGUAAUUCCUGCUCACUAAAAGCUGCACAGAUAUAUUCUCUUAUCACUCAGGCCUAACAUGCAGUACUGCUUUAAACACGUUUGAUGAGCUGGUUGAUAAAAAACUACAGCCGAUUAAAUAAUCUUAAAUCUAUUUAAAUACUAAAUAUUAUUUUGUAUUUCAAAUACAUAUUUUAAAUACACAUAUCUGAAAUACUGCCCAUCCCUGUCCACCUUGAUUAUAGUUUACAUGUUUAUUUAUAUUUUGCACUUGAUUUGUUUAACCAUUUCAGUGAUAAAGUACACAUUCUGUUGUUCAUCAUACACAAUCCACUGUAUUGGAUAAAAUACAUAAAUAAAUAAACCCUAUUAAUUCUGAGGACA